rfam:Actinomyces graevenitzii C83 genomic scaffold supercont1.5, whole genome shotgun sequence.
UUGUUAGUUUUUAAGAGCGUUCGGUGGAUGCCUUGGUAUCAGGGGCCGAUGAAGGACGUGGUGGACUGCGAUAAGCCUCGGGGAGCUGUCUGACAGGCUUUGAUCCGAGGGUUUCCGAAUAGGGGAACCUAGCAAGAGUAAUGUCUUGUUACCUGCGCCUGAAUGUAUAGGGCGCAAGGGGGUGUACGCGGGGAAGUGAAACAUCUUAGUACCCGCAGGAAAAGAUAUUCCGUGAGUAGUGGCGAGCGAAAGCGGAUUAGGUGAAACCGUGUUAGUGUGAUAGACGCCAGUUGUUGCUGAUGCGGGGUUGUGGGGCGUGUUUGUUACAUUCUCUGGCGGGGGUGUGCGUAGUUAUAAAUGUUUGGUGUAGUUGAAUAGUCUGGGAAGGCUAAGCGUAGACGGUGAUACUCCGGUAGGCGAAACAUCAGGCACUGCGUUGGACAUGUUUUCCCCAAGUAGCACGGGGCUCGUGGAAUCUUGUGUGAAUUUGCUAAGACCACUUAGCUGCCUAAAUACUUCCUGGUAACCGAUAGCGGAUAAGUACCGUGAGGGAAUGGUGAAAAGUACCCCGGGAGGGGAGUGAAAUAGUACCUGAAACCGGGCGCUUACAAGCCGUCAAAGCCUUAAGGGGUGAUGGCGUGCCUAUUGAAGAAUGAGCCUGCGAGUUAGUGGCGUGUCGCGAGGUUAACCCGUGUGGGGGAUCCGUAGCGAAAGCGAGUCUGAAAGGGCGAGCAGUGGCACGUUCUAGACCCGAAGCGGGGUGAUCUACCCAUGGCCAGGUUGAAGCACGUGUAAGAGCGUGUGGAGGACCGAACCCACUUCAGUUGAAAAUGGAGGGGAUGAGCUGUGGGUAGGGGUGAAAGGCCAAUCAAACUCCGUGAUAGCUGGUUCUCCCCGAAAUGCAUUUAGGUGCAGCGUUGCGUGGUUCCGGGCGGGGGUAGAGCUACUGGAUGGCUGAUGGGCCUUACAGGGUUACUGACGUCAACCAAACUCCGAAUACCGUCCGGGUAUAGCGUGGCAGUGAGACAGUGGGGGAUAAGCUCCGUUGUCGAGAGGGAAACAGCCCAGAUCGCCGGCUAAGGCCCCUAAGCGUGUGCUAAGUGGGAAAGGAUGUGCGGUCGCGUUGACAACCAGGAGGUUGGCUUAGAAGCAGCCAUCCUUGAAAGAGUGCGUAAUAGCUCACUGGUCAAGUGAUCGUGCGCCGACAAUGUAGCGGGGCUCAAGCACACCGCCGAAGCCGCGGAUCCUCAACAUAUACCCUGUCAAGUUUUUUUGGCCAGGGGUUGGGGGUGGUAGGGGAGCGUUGUGUACUGGGUGAAGCGGCCGAGUGAUUGUGUCGUGGACGGUACGCAAGUGAGAAUGCAGGCAUGAGUAGCGAUACUAGGGUGAGAAACCCUAGCGCCGAAUGACCAAGGGUUCCAGGGCUAGGCUAGUCCGCCCUGGGUGAGUCGGGUCCUAAGGCGAGGCCGACAGGCGUAGUCGAUGGGUAACCGGUUGAUAUUCCGGUACCGGCUAGUAACCGUCAAGUGUUGACUGAAAGGUACUAACCCACGCCAGGAACAUGAUUGAAUGCUUUUGGGUGUUUGGUUGUGGUUUUGGUUUGGGGACAGGCUUUCUUGGUAGGCAAGCGUGUGGAGUGACGCACAGUGGAAGCCUUCGCGAGGUGAUGGAAUACCUCGUUUAACCGUGUAGCUUACUGCUUAGGUAAAUCCGGGUGGUUUUAUGUGAGGCGGGAUGAUGACCACUUUUUUGGGUGGGAAGUAGGGGUGAUCCUGUGGUGCCGAGAAAAGCUUCGACGCGAGGUGGCUGGCCGCCCGUACCCUAAACCGACACAGGUGGUCGGGCAGAGUAUGCCUAGGCGCACGAGAUAAUCAUGGUUAAGGAACUCGGCAAAAUGCCCCCGUAACUUCGGGAGAAGGGGGGCCUGAUACUUGAUGAAACCGUUUGUGGCUUUCUAGGGUUGAGGGUCGCAGAGACCAGGGAGAAGCGACUGUUUACUAAAAACACAGGUGCGUGCGAAGCCGUAAGGCGAUGUAUACGUACUGACGCCUGCCCGGUGCUGGAAGGUUAAGAGGAACCGUCAGCUGACUUUUGUUGGUGAAGCGGUGAAUUUAAGCCCCAGUAAACGGCGGUGGUAACUAUAACCAUCCUAAGGUAGCGAAAUUCCUUGUCGGGUAAGUUCCGACCUGCACGAAUGGCGUAACGACUUCUCUACUGUCUCAACCAUGAACUCGGCGAAAUUGCAUUACGAGUAAAGAUGCUCGUUACGCGCAGAAGGACGGAAAGACCCCGGGACCUUUACUAUAGCUUGGUAUUGGUGCGCGUUAUAGCUUGUGUAGGAUAGGUGGGAGACUGUGAAGUGGUCACGCUAGUGAUUGUGGAGUCGUUGUUGAAAUACCACUCUGGUUAUAGCGUGUGCCUGAACCUUGGCCCGUGAUCCGGGUUAGGGACAGUGCCUGGUGGGUAGUUUAACUGGGGCGGUUGCCUCCUAAAUUGUAACGGAGGCGCUCAAAGGUUCCCUCAUCCUGGUCGGUAACCAGGUGUUGAGUGUAAGUGCACAAGGGGGCUUGACUGCGAGACUGACAGGUCGAGCAGGUACGAAAGUAGGAACUAGUGAUCCGGCGAUCCCGUGUGGGUGGGUCGUCGCUCAACGGAUAAAAGGUACCCCGGGGAUAACAGGCUGAUCCUGCCCAAGAGUCCAUAUCGACGGCAUGGUUUGGCACCUCGAUGUCGGCUCGUCGCAUCCUGGGGCUGGAGCAGGUCCCAAGGGUUGGGCUGUUCGCCCAUUAAAGCGGUACGCGAGCUGGGUUUAGAACGUCGUGAGACAGUUCGGUCCCUAUCCUCUGCGCGCGUUGGAAACUUGAGAAGGGCUGUCCCUAGUACGAGAGGACCGGGACGGACGAACCUCUGGUGUGCCAGUUAUCCUGCCAGGGGUAUGGCUGGUUUGCUACGUUCGGGAUGGGUAACCGCUGAAAGCAUCUAAGCGGGAAACUAGCUUCGAGAUUAGGUUUCCGUCCCUGUUUUUUGGGGGGAGGUUCCCGGUAGAUUACCGGGUUGAUAGGCUAGGAGUGUAGACAUUGUAAGGUGACCAGCUUACUAGUACUAAUUGACCGAUUACUAACAAUA